UACGAAGGGGGCUAGCGUUGCUCGGAAUUACUGGGCGUAAAGGGCGCGUAGGCGGCACUGUUAGUCAGGCGUGAAAGUCCUGGGCUCAACCUGGGAACUGCGCUUGAUACGGCAGAGCUAGAGGAUGGAAGAGGGUCGCGGAAUUCCCAGUGUAGAGGUGAAAUUCGUAGAUAUCAGGAGGAACACCAGUGGCGAAGGCGGCUUUCUGGACGGUAACUGACGCUGAGACGCGAAAGCGUGGGGAGCAAACAGG
rnacentral:rRNA from 1 species